GGCGCUAUGGUGUAGUGGUAGCACAUGGGAUUCUGAUUAGAAUCAUAAGUUCCCAUAACCCAGGUUCGAACCCUGGUAGUGCCU